rnacentral:lncRNA from 1 species
UUUGGCUGAAUGGAUUAAAAUUGGGCCUUGGGGUUUGGUCAACUAGACUAAUUUUUGUUGCUAGAUGUUGUCUGGAUGUGUGAAGUUGUUGCAAGGGCUGAUUUCAAUUGGCCCGACACUGAAAUUGCAUUUGGGCCGCUGAUGGAGAUGCAACAUUGGUCGGGGUGUUGUUCCCUACACCUCCCCAAGUGGAACCUGUACCUCCCCAUUAAUUUAAUUUAUUUCAAAAAUAUUCUACACCUCCUCACUAUUUUCUUUUAUUCCAAAAAUACCCUACACCU